GGCCAAAAGAAUACUGCAAUAUACUCACAUGGGAAAUCAUAAAAAGUUCAUGUUCACGGUUGCUAUCCACAUGACCGGCAGCGGCCAAUCGAAGGACCGAUCCACUCAUAAAGUUCUAUCACAAAGUUGUAAAUUUUCAUAAAACAACAAGGAAUUUAUUGCAUUUCUUCAUGACUAGCAACAACAGGCCCCUUCGCCGCCAUGUUGUGUGCCAAUGCAAAAUGUCAGGCAGAGAGCGUGUGCGAUCUCGAUGCGUCUCCGUCUAGUGAGGUAGCGGUUGAAGUGAAACUCUUUUUCCAGCUCCAGGGUCUGAUACCGAGUGUAAGUCUGACGUCCCCUCUUCCUGUCUGAAGCUGGACAAUGAUCAAGGAGAGGAAUCGAAAGAAAGAAACAGAGAGAGAAAAAAAUGAAAUUACCAACAAUGCAGGAACAGCACUCUAACUAACAGCCGGCAUUGCUUUUUCCUGUACUCCAAAUCUACCACUAAUUUCAACAUAAUGUCCAGAAUAUCCCCUUGACAGAUACAAUAAAUUACUGUCGGAAACUAACUGAUUACAAUCAAUAUAAAGUUUGUAAUAAUGCUUUAUAAAGAAGACGGGGAUAACUCUAUAUGGGGAAGUAUUUAAACUGUUUACACAGCACUUAGAGGCCUGAGACAACUGUCACUCAGUAGCAUGUUGACUUUAAUUUUUUUUAUUCAACUAAUAUUUUAAACAAGGAAGCGCGUAUUGGUUUAACAGCUAUAAUCCAUUGAUGGAUGAUCAUUGUCCUACAUCUUCACCGCACUCUGCAUUUGGUGAAUUAAUGUUAUGUAACUUGAAACUGAGAGGCAGUUAUAAAAUGGAUACUAUUAUUUGUUUUAAAGCACAA